rnacentral:rRNA from 1 species
AAGGGGAGCAAUCCCUGAGUAAAGUGGCGACCGGGUGAGUAACACGUGACUAACCUACCCUCGAGUGUGGAAUAACAUCGGGAAACCGAUGCUAAUACCGCAUAACAUCGCAAGAUCAAAGGAGCAAUCCGCUUGAGGAGGGGGUCGCGGCUGAUUAGCUAGUUGGCGGGGUAACGGCCCACCAAGGCGAAGAUCGGUAGCCGGCCUGAGAGGGCGCACGGCCACACUGGAACUGAAACACGGUCCAGACUCCUACGGGAGGCAGCAGUGGGGAAUUUUGCGCAAUGGGGGAAACCCUGACGCAGCAACGCCGCGUGGAGGAUGAAGCCCAUUGGG